ACGCAGUCAGUACUCAAACAGUUGUGAUGGA
rnacentral:piRNA from 1 species